rnacentral:tRNA from 1 species
GAAGCAGAUAUAAUUUCUUUUUUAAAAGUAAAAAAUUAAAAACUUAAAAACGAUUGAUCGUGCCAAGACUCGAAC